UUCCGUUUCCUCGAGCCUCUCCUCUCCAUUCCAGCUCGUCCAUCUUGGUUGUCCGUCUCGUUGGGUUCUACGUGCGUUCGUGUUGAGGUUUUCUUGACCCCCACACGGCUCCUGGGAAAUACGCCAGGCAACAUAAUUACAUGAGCCGUUUAAUGCUCUCUCUCCUUAUCCAUUGUGGCACCCGAAGAAGCUGAGCUACACGUGGUGUACUGUUCAUGGCACUGUUGUACAAGUGAUCUUCAAUUGGGUGUGUCUAUUCCAGCACGUCCACAUCCUUUCAACACCUUAUGCGAUGUGUGUUUCAGGUGGGCUGCAACAUUUGUCAGCAUGCAUUCCUCCUUGCUAGGAUUACUAUGUCAGGUUGGCUGGGCUUUAUAAGGUGAGUCUCCCCUACACGUAUUUCUUGUGCAAUAAAGAAUUAUUUCCAAACUUG